rnacentral:rRNA from 1 species
GGUUAAGCGACUAAGCGUACACGGUGGAUGCCCUGGCAGUCAGAGGCGAUGAAGGACGUGCUAAUCUGCGAUAAGCGUCGGUAAGGUGAUAUGAACCGUUAUAACCGGCGAUUUCCGAAUGGGGAAACCCAGUGUGUUUCGACACACUAUCAUUAACUGAAUCCAUAGGUUAAUGAGGCGAACCGGGGGAACUGAAACAUCUAAGUACCCCGAGGAAAAGAAAUCAACCGAGAUUCCCCCAGUAGCGGCGAGCGAACGGGGAGCAGCCCAGAGCCUGAAUCAGUGUGUGUGUUAGUGGAAGCGUCUGGAAAGGCGCGCGAUACAGGGUGACAGCCCCGUACACAAAAAUGCACAUGCUGUGAGCUCGAUGAGUAGGGCGGGACACGUGGUAUCCUGUCUGAAUAUGGGGGGACCAUCCUCCAAGGCUAAAUACUCCUGACUGACCGAUAGUGAACCAGUACCGUGAGGGAAAGGCGAAAAGAACCCCGGCGAGGGGAGUGAAAAAGAACCUGAAACCGUGUACGUACAAGCAGUGGGAGCACGCUUAGGCGUGUGACUGCGUACCUUUUGUAUAAUGGGUCAGCGACUUAUAUUCUGUAGCAAGGUUAACCGAAUAGGGGAGCCGAAGGGAAACCGAGUCUUAACUGGGCGUUAAGUUGCAGGGUAUAGACCCGAAACCCGGUGAUCUAGCCAUGGGCAGGUUGAAGGUUGGGUAACACUAACUGGAGGACCGAACCGACUAAUGUUGAAAAAUUAGCGGAUGACUUGUGGCUGGGGGUGAAAGGCCAAUCAAACCGGGAGAUAGCUGGUUCUCCCCGAAAGCUAUUUAGGUAGCGCCUCGUGAAUUCAUCUCCGGGGGUAGAGCACUGUUUCGGCAAGGGGGUCAUCCCGACUUACCAACCCGAUGCAAACUGCGAAUACCGGAGAAUGUUAUCACGGGAGACACACGGCGGGUGCUAACGUCCGUCGUGAAGAGGGAAACAACCCAGACCGCCAGCUAAGGUCCCAAAGUCAUGGUUAAGUGGGAAACGAUGUGGGAAGGCCCAGACAGCCAGGAUGUUGGCUUAGAAGCAGCCAUCAUUUAAAGAAAGCGUAAUAGCUCACUGGUCGAGUCGGCCUGCGCGGAAGAUGUAACGGGGCUAAACCAUGCACCGAAGCUGCGGCAGCGACGCUGAUGCGUUGUUGGGUAGGGGAGCGUUCUGUAAGCCUGCGAAGGUGUGCUGUGAGGCAUGCUGGAGGUAUCAGAAGUGCGAAUGCUGACAUAAGUAACGAUAAAGCGGGUGAAAAGCCCGCUCGCCGGAAGACCAAGGGUUCCUGUCCAACGUUAAUCGGGGCAGGGUGAGUCGACCCCUAAGGCGAGGCCGAAAGGCGUAGUCGAUGGGAAACAGGUU